UGCAUACAUGAUCUCCAGCACACCCC
rnacentral:piRNA from 1 species